rnacentral:rRNA from 1 species
CCUACGGGAGGCAGCAGUGGGGGAUAUUGCACAAUGGGGGAAACCCUGAUGCAGCGACGCCGCGUGUGGGAAGACGGUCCUCUGGAUUGUAAACCACUGUCCCCAGGGACGAAGAUGACGGUACCUGGGGAGGAAGCUCCGGCCAACUACGUGCCAGCAGCCGCGGUAAUACGUAGGGAGCGAGGGUUGUCCGGAAUUACUGGGUGAAAAGGGAGCGUAGGCGGGACUGCAAGUUGGGUGUCAAAUCUACCGGCUCAACCGGUAGCCGCACUCAAAACUGCAGUUCUUGAGUGAAGUAGAGGCAGGCGGAAUUCCUAGUGUAGCGGUGAAAUGCGUAGAUAUUAGGAGGAACACCAGUGGCGAAGGCGGCCUGCUGGGCUUUUACUGACGCUGAGGCUCGAAAGUGUGGGGAGCAAACAGGAUUAGAUACCCGAGUAGUC